GGUGUGUGUGGCUGGUUGUCCAUGGAGAGGCAGGGACAGAGAAAAAUGGAAGCAGUAGUUAAUAGGAGCUGAAAGAAGGAGAUAAGUUCAGGGGGGAAGAGCAGUCAUAGUCACUGUAGUCAGGGACUGGAGUACCCAGGAGAGAGGUGUCAGUCAAGAAAAGGAUGGGUACGUCUGUGUUAGGGCUGUACAGGGCAGGAGUGAAAAGGGUGUAGGCAUAAGACAGAAGCGUAUUUGCGUAAGAACACAGUAGGGAAGCAAAGAUAUCUGAAACACCUUUUAGAAGGAUGUUAGGAGGUGCAUGAAAGGAUUCUUGAAAGGUUUCCAUGAAGUAAGAACCCAUAGUCUUGGGCUAUAGCAACGUUAAGGUUGAGUACAUGUGGUAAGGGAUGUGCAUCUGGGACAGCUUGAAGCAAAGAUGCCAAAUGUGCAUGGGGUAACGGUAAAGAGGAAAGUAGUCUUGAGACCCCUACAGAGUUAGCUGUACAGUUCAGAAAUGGUAACUAGGGAAGCGAUAUCAGUACUUUAAGGGAUACCACAGAGGCAUCACAAGUGAAAUGAUUAACUGGGUUUUGGAGAUGCAAGGGUGGGGAAGGAGUUUUACAAAUCACAUAGGGAACAUGACGUAAGAGUGAUGAUGUCAUAUACUGGGUAAGAAGAACAAGAAGGAGAGCCUGGGAAUAUAGCUUAGUUGGUAGAGUACUUGUCUAGAAUGCAAGAAGCCCUAAACUUGAUCUCCAACAGCAGAUACAACUGUGGUGGGUUAGGGAGGGAAAGGCAGGAGGAUCAGGAGUUCAAUCAAGGUCUUCCUUGGGUACACAGUGAGUUCAAGGCCUAUACUACAUGAGACCAUGGCGCAGGAAAAAAAAAUGAGAAAGAGCACAUAAUGAAGUCCUAGCAACUGAGAGGAGAGGGCUAUUGUGAGCAUACUAAAUGCAAUAAACGAAGAAAAUAAGGCAAAUGUGAGGGAGUGAACAUGAAGAAGUACAAACAUUUCCUUCUAAGGAUGAAGCUGUGGAAGAGAAAGAACAUGGCCUAAGUUAGCAAGGAUGACAGAGGCCAAGGGUAGUGAGACUGCAGAGGGAGCACUAUCUCAGAAAUAGUCUAGGUCAGGGCUGUCCAAAGAAGGACAACAGGAGGGAGGAUGAGGGGAGCAGCUCCAAAAGAGUUGACAACUGUCCAGAAUGGUGGAGUCAAGAAGCCAAGAUGUUUUUAGAGGUGAAUUCAGAUAGCAGUAUAUGGAGACGCAGUUUCCAAACGAAGGGCAUUCAGAUUCUAGUAGACAAGUCAAGUAGAUAGGGUGAGUGGUGUCAGGGCCAGACAUGUGAGGCAGAGCAGAACAGAGACAAAUGCCUAAAGUGAUCUAAAUUAAAUAGGGAAAUCAGACAGCACGGCAUUUUAAAAUGGGACAUGCAUAGACAGUACCGACAAGUAACCCUGGGGACUUGGGAAAGAUCUACUCCAUACUGAGACCAUUAUGUUAGCAGCAAAAUACUUGCAAAUGGCAGAGGUGCAGCUGGGAACCAAUGCGGAACAGGCAUUUCGCAGUGACCACUGAGCCUGUGCUUUUGCUAUUUAAAAGUAUCUAAAAGGAGAGAGCUGUAGUGCUUGUCAGACUGACAGGCAUUGGCAAAGAGUGAAAAUGACAAAAGAAUGUGGAUGGCUCAUCAAACCCAACAAAUCAUUAUAAAUAGAUUACAAAACUAUAGAGAACAUCCUGGGGGAGAGUUAGUGUGUCUAGUCGGCUUCUUUUUGCGGAGGGUUGAUCUAAAGGAAAACAGGUAGGAAGAGGAAGCUCGAGAGUGGGCCCUGUGUAAGAAAAGGAUCUUAAAAAUUGAACACAAGUGUUGUGAUACAGGCAGGCCAAAUAGGGAACGAAGCACUGGGAGAUGUACAUGCUGUGAAUGGGUGGGGUCUAUGGUAAUAGGUAGGGGCAUUUCCUUAAUGGACCCCUGUUGGCGGCAUAGAAGUGAUAAAGAGGAGAAAGUAUGAAAAGUAUUGGGUAGACUUUCAAGUUUUGUGGGAACAGGAAGAAGAAAAAAGAAGGAAUCAGGAUGACAGUGGACACAAUGGGCCAAAAAGGUAGAGGGAAGAAUCAGUGGAUGGUAAGAAGAGUAAAAAUGACUAGUUCUAGAAAAGCACACAGAAUGUGGAGAAGAGGCAAGAGUUUGAGCAGUGAGGAGAGGUUCAGGAAAGCACUGGGAGAUGUCUUAUCUGACAAAGUGACAGUACUACAGAGGAGUACAGACAAACAAAACCUUUUUCCUCUUGGCGAGGAAAAGAAGACAUAGAUCAGAGCAGAAAGUACAUUGCUUCAAGAAAGCUACAUCCAAGAGUCAACUAUAGGAGACAGGGCAGAGGAGACACCCAGAGAGAACGGAGCUGAGCACAGGGAGCAGGGAAGAAGGGACACAAGCUGGACAGGAACAAGAAAGCGGCAAGUCCUAGAGGCAGAAGGAGGCCCUUAAGAGUGCUCUGGUCUACUUGCCAGACAUACUUUGGAAAGAAAAAACCAAAUUAAACAAAGCAGGGAUGGGAAGCAGCCAGCAAGGAGAAAUGUGAUCUUAAAGCCCUGAAUACUGCUAUGUGCGAAGGAAUAAGCCAGGAAGGGAAGGAAGUGCUUCCAACUAGAGAGUGCCUGGUCCAUAUGAGACAGGGAAGGAAACCCUGAACUGCUUGAGUCAAGACAUAAGUGGUCACCACCAGAAAGCUAGGGCCAUGGAAUGGGAGAACAAAGGCCAGGGAGGACAGGGGGUCACCCACAGCAGUGAUUCUUAACCAGGGGGGGGUGGGGGGGUUCCACCAGGGGUGGGUGGGCACGGCCCCCAGGUGGCCUAUCAGAACACCAGAGGUGAGGCAGUGAUCUGCUCACAAAUACUAACAAUAACACCAGUUAGAAGAUGGUUCUGAUAGGCUACUGGGGGGCCAUGCACCCCUGGGUGAGAAUCACUGGUGGAAGGUGGGGGGGGGGACUGGAGAUGGCUACAGAGAAGGAAGGGUGAGCAGAUGGAGGCUGUGAGUCCAGGCAGAUGGAGACAUCAAGUCAUGACCGUCAGACUUGGGAGAAAAGGUCCCGCUGGUGCAGGGGGAUGACAGUGAGCAACUGGAUGCAGUGCAGAAGGAAGGUGUGAGAAGGAUGAGAGCUGUGUGAGGUUUCUUGUCAGGGGCAGGAGUGCAGUGCCAACACUGUGGUCCCUGCUGAGGACUGAGGUGGAGGAGCGAGGCUGGAAGAGAUGGCUGAUACAUAGGUGUGACGGCUACAUGCAGACUUGGUGCAAUCAGUCUGAUGCAGAGGACCAAAUGUGUUGAAGUGGUGGAUGUGGAGGACAGGUCAAGUGAGGGUGCAGGCUCAGAGGUCCACAGACUACACCAGAGCAUCACAGAGGGCAUCUGAAGGAGCUUCAGGGGUUGAGAGGAUAACUUUGCUUCUCAGGGCAGUGAAAGGUAGAGCAGGAGAAGGGGUUAGCUGGACCCAGGACUGUUGUGAGGAGGCAAGGAAUUUGUAAUAGGUGGGAGAGGAUGAGAGAGGAGCUGGGCCACUGAGUUAACAAACUAGCAUAAGCAGUGGAGGGAGCCAGCAGCUGAGAGAGCAGAGGGUACACAGAGGCUCAGGGGAAGGCAGUAACAGUGAAGAAAAAGUAAGAAGAUGGAGAGUGUGGAAUGGAGCUCAGUCAGUCAGGGAAGAAAGAACAUGGUCUGGGUGAGAUAGAGUAGGACGACAACAGGUGAAGGAAGCAUCUGCAGUAGGCUGCGGUGAGCACGAUACCCAUGAAAUAUUGGGACACUAUGUUAGAGGAGGCCACAGGGAGUUAGAUAUAAAGGUGUCAGACAAGUAGCUGACUUGCUUGUAAUGUGAAGAACUAGGAAGCGAGGCUGGCAAGGGUGGGUUCCAACAGCAUGGACUCGGGAGAACUUGUUUUGGACACAGAGGCUGACAAUGUCAGGAAUGGGUGAAGGUCGGGAAGGGAGCCGAGAAGGGAAGACUGAUGAGGAGUUCGUGCACUGAUUGAAAGGCAGCAGGUGAAGUUAGUAGUGUAAACACAGUGUCGGUGACAGAGAAAGGAACAAUCUUCAGGGGAUGGUGGUAGAAAGUUUAGAGCCCCUGUAUGGAAGAAAAAGCGAUCUUUGGCUUGCUAGUGAAAGGUGGUGUUGAGCUGGAUUAGGGCAGCUGGUGUGGGAAAAAAAGAAGAGGAGGCAUUUCAGUCUCCUGAGUUUGUGGUGGAUUCAGUCAAGGAUGAGGGGCCACUAUGGAAAACAAUAAAGCAGAUAGUAGAGUUCCCUAACUGAGAUCCUUGGCAGAUCUCAGGGGGCAAGUUUGUUGAAAAGAUGGUAUUAAUGUCAGAUUUUAGCGGGACAGAAAAGAUGAGCAAAAGCCCGGAAGUUUGUAGAAUGGAACUGGAUGGUGUUUAUAGCAAAGGGACAAGAGUGGCUUGAGUUAAUUUAGAGGAAACCAGGUGAGGUGCACCUUACAGACUCCUACACAGACACCUGUUAGAGCCACCUCUGCAAUGGGACUGGACUCAUAAAGAGUCCAGUACUAGACUCUCAUGAAGAGAGUCCGGUAAGAAUGUAGAUAUAUGAUUGUGCAAACGGCGGAGGCACAGCUGGGUACCAAUGCGGAACAGCCACUUCGCAGUUGACCUCUGAACCUGUGCUUCUACUGUUCAAGAUUGGCUGAAAAGAAAAGAGGUGCGUUGUGAAACAGAGAGACGUGUAAGGGGUCUUGGUGUGAAGCCCAGGGUAGGAAGGAUGUUCCAACUACCAGGCAGGAAGGACCUUCUAGCCGUUCAAGGCAGGAAGGACCUUCUAACUGUCCAGGGUAGGAAGGACGUUCCAACUACCAGGCAGGAAGGACCUUCUAGCCGUUUAAGGCAGGAAGGACCUUCUAACUGCCCAGGGUAGGAAGGACCUUCCAAUACCAUGGGAAUCUCACAGGUUCAGGGUGAAGGUAGGUCACUAGUCCAUGAGCAGUGGAAUGAGCCUGGCCUAGAAGGCCAGGUUCUGGUGACAGGUUGGGCUUAGGCUACCGUAUGCUUGAUCGAGAGGAAAAACGGUAAGGAAAUAAUAAAGAGGGUAUAGUGUGGUAUUUACAUAAGGAGAAUGUCUUCAAAUAUAAAUACAAGUAUAAUGCAUAUUGUAUUUCCAAGUGGCAGCAAGGAAAAGAGGAACACCCAGUGGGCUUCAAGUAGUGUGUCAGCAAUGAGCAAGGCUAUGUUCUUUUUAGGAGGUUUGCAACAGAGGUGAGAAAGUGAGGAGUAGGAUGUGGUAGGACUGGCUUUACUCUUCUGACUUGCUGCUUGAAAGAAGAGGAAAAUGUUUGACAUGGGAGAGCUGAAGGAAUGACAGUCUAAGACAAGGAGCAGGUAGAAUCAAUGAAAAACCUAGAUCAGUGAUAUAAACAGCUUCAGUAAUGGUGGUGGGACAGUGAUGAGAAAAAUCUGAGUAUGAAAGCAGAUACAGGAAGAAGAAAGUCCUGGAGACGAGAGUCAUGAGUACGAUCAAGUGGCAUGUUGUAGGUUGUUUGAGAAAAGUAUGGGCCACAGAAAAAAAAGCAGAGGUUUUCUACUAACUAGAGGGCAAAAGCAGAGACAGGCUUUAAGCAGUAGGGCUGUGGAAAGGGAAGUAGGCGGCAUAUCAAGAUGAUGUAGCAGUGGAGUCAGCUGGAGAAGACAGGGCAGAGGAGACACCCAGAGAGAACAGAGCUGAGCACAGGGAGCAGGGAAGAAGGGACACAAGCUGGACAGGAACAAGAAAGCGGCAAGUCCUAGAGGCAGAAGGAGGCCCUUAAGAGUGCUCCAGUCAACUUGCAAACCAUACUUUGGGAAGAAAAACCAAACCAAAUCAAACAAGGAUGGGAAGCAACCUACAGGGAGAUCUAUGAUCUUAAACCCCUGAAUCUUGUUAGAAUGGUACAAAUCUGCAGCCAGGCUCUUUACUUUGGGUCUGGCAGGGAAGGGAGGAAUGGUAAGGAUGGUUGCAGGGACAGGAUUUGGGCUAGGGUUGAUUCAGCUCACUGGACUGGAUGGAAGGUGAGCUUUGGAAGCAGUGGGGACUGGAGUGGAGACAUAAGCCUAGUUUUAGGCAUCGAGAAGACAUCUUACUGAAUGGAGCUGGCAGAUGGUUCUAGGUCCUGUGUUUAUAGUGAUGACUAAAGCCUGGGAGAAUACUGAAAAUGCUCAAGAAAAAAAAAAAGAGUAGAUGACAAAAGGACAGAAAUAAACAAGCAUAAAGGUGGUUCCAAGAGGAGAGUGAAGUUCUGAGGAAGUGCUAAGAUGCUCAAAUGGGGAUUUCAAGCAGUCACCACUAGAAAGCUCGAGGCAUGGAAUUGAAGACUGAAAGUCUGAGAGAACAGGUGUCCACUGCAGUGAUUCUUAACCGGGGGGUGGGGGGUGGAGGGGUUCCACCCGAGGGGGGGUGGGCACGGCCCCCAGGUGGCCUAUCAGAACACCAGAGGUGAGGCAGUGAUCUGCUCACAAAUACUAACAAUAACACCAGUUAAGAAGAUGGUUCUGAUGGGCUACUGGGGGGCCAUGCACCCCUGGGUGAGAAUCACUGGUGGAAGGUGGGGGGGGGACUGGAGAUGGCUACAGAGAAGGAAGGGUGAGCAGAUGGAGGCUGUGAGUCCAGGCAGAUGGAGACAUCAAGUCAUGACCGUCAGACUUGGGAGAAAAGGUCCCGCUGGUGCAGGGGGAUGACAGUGAGCAACUGGAUGCAGUGCAGAAGGAAGGUGUGAGAAGGAUGAGAGCUGUGUGAGGUUUCCUGUCAGGGGCAGGAGUGCAGUGCCAACACUGUGGUCCCUGCUGAGGACUGAGGUGAAGGAGCGAGGCUGGAAGAGAUGGCUGAUACAUAGGUGUGAUGGCUACAUGCAGACUUGGUGCAAUCAGUCUGAUGCAGAGGACCAAAUGUGUUGAAGUGGUGGAUGUGGAGGACAGGUCAAGUGAGGGUGCAGGCUCAGAGGUCCACAGACUACACCAGAGCAUCACAGAGGGCAUCUGAAGGAGCUUCAGGGGUUGAGAGGAUAACUUUGCUUCUCAGGGCAGUGAAAGGUAGAGCAGGAGAAGGGGUUAGCUGGACCCAGGACCGUUGUGAGGAGGCAAGGAAUUUGUAAUAGGUGGGAGAGGAUGAGAGAGGAGCUGGGCCACUGAGUUAACAAACUAGCAUAAGCAGUGGAGGGAGCCAGCAGCUGAGAGAGCAGAGGGUACACAGAGGCUCAGGGGAAGGCACCAUUCCAGGAAGGUACACUCAGGAUUUAGAGGGGAAAGAGAAGAUGAGGCUUUCACUUCAGUUGUGCUAAUUGGAGGUGGCAGUACCUUGAAAAUAAUCGGGAGCACUAUGUCACUGAAAAUCACGGCAACAGUGCUUCCAAACCAGAGAACCACUGUUCAACAAUGGUAGCCCUGAGAAGCUAGUCUGGUUAUAGGGGAAUUCAGAAAGCACCUGGACUCACAAGAGAUUGCCCCAGGCUCAGAGGAUGGCAAAGAUGCGAGCAGUGAGUACAAAUCAGGAUGUGAUCAGAUAGGGCUAGAAAGACUCCUGAAUCCAUGCACCAACUGGAAGGUUCAAAGAAAAGUGUUGAGGAAGAAUCAGCAUGUCUCUGAAAAAAUUCACAUGAGAAAAAUAUAUGGAAUGGUCUUACAAGGAUUAAUCCUGCAUCCAAAGUAGACACUGAAGAAGGUGGCAAUAGGCGGGUAAUAAACAUUUUGAUUCCAAUUGGUCACACAACUGAUGAGAAAUGAAAGGGUUAGAAGUGGACAGAACCAAUUGAAAUUGUGGCUCACCCUUGAUAAUGGAGCCAGUGCAGGAAAGCAAAAGGCAGAAUUCAGGGUUUCCAAGGUGGGAGAUGUUAUCCGAUCUCCAGGUUAAGCAAUGAAUGAUGCAAAGACUUUGAAGGCCUAAGCAGAGUUGUCUUUAUAAGAGAGACAAGUCAGGUGACAAAGCCUUCAUGCAUUAUAGAAACAACUUCACUGAUUUUAAAAGACAGAAGAACAAAAAUCACAGGAAAGUAGUGAUACCAUCACAUGGUUGAAUAAAAAUCAGAAAAUAUGAAUUAGGUUUAAGGUUUAGUGGCAGGAAGAUCACAAGUUCAGGGCCAGCCUGAGAUACAAAAGGAGACCCUGUCUUAGAAAGAAAGAGAAAAAAAAAAAAAAAAAAAAAGAAAAGAAAAAAGAAAAAAACUUAAAAAAAAAGACAUUAAAAAGGGGGUAGGGAACGAUGGUAAUUGAGAAAAGAAUUGGACAUAGGUUGAAUUAUAUUGAACAUGGCCUGCAACAAAAUCCACAUGUCCCAAAUGGAAAAGAAAUACUGCUAACGGAACUGGGUUACGUGACUAGUGUUCACUUUACAUCAUCUGGGAUUUACUUAGGACACUUUGAAUGGUCAGAUGGGUAGUAGUAUUGCUUACUGAAGAUCUAUACUGAAUAAAGGAAAAUAGGAAUUGUAUAUAUUAAGAACUUAUCAACAGAGAAUCUGAAUGCCUAAAAUCUUCAUCAGCUAUCACCUGUGGAUGGGUUGAGUAAGGAGAACAAAUGGUCACAUAGACAUGUGUUUGUGAACAGCUUGAUCAACAAUCUUCAGUAUCUGAUAGCCAGUGAUGUUUACAGGUUGAGCAAAGAAAGGUAUAAUUAACAGAAUAAUAUUCUGGAGAAUACUAGAAGGCAUGUAUCUUUUGAAUUGCAGAAGAACUGAUUUUAAAACUGAUAUAAGAAAGAAAUUUAAGCAAUUUCAGAAUUAAACAAAAUAUUAUCUAUUAUUUACUGUGUCUGGUGCCAGAUCAGAUUUACACAAAGAAAAUUAUUUGUCCAAUUCACAGAAUCAGCAUGUGGUAAGGCCAGAACUCAAAUUAUUACACCUAUCUAUUAAACCCAUAUUUCUCUUUAAUAUGCUAUAUUAUUUUCAAAUAGAAGGAAAUCAUAACCAAGAACUUCUAUUUUUUUCCCUUGUGACCAUAAGGAAAAAUAUUUUUCUGAGAUAAGAUUGAUAUUAGAAAGUGAAAGAUUUUGAAGUACUGGUUAAUUUUUAGAGUAUCUGCAAUGGAAAAUGUUCAAAAAAAGAAGGAUGGGAGGAUAGGUAAGGACUCCAUUACCAUCUAUGUCCUGGUAUUUUACUUCAUUCUUUGCAAAGUAGAGUUGAGAUUGGCUAUGGAUUAAAAUUUCAUGAAUUUUAAUAAAAACUAAAGAAUAGAAAGGAGUAAUCAUGCAUAUGGUAAUCAAACACCAAAAUAUUGAAACAAGAUUAGACUUUAUAACCACAUUCUGCUACUGAUCAGGAAACACUCUGAAUCUAACGGAAGGAAAAUUCUAAUUGCCAAAUUUUUAUAAACAAAACCCAAAUAGUCCAUAGCCAGCAGACCAAACAUUGAAACCUCUGGGCUAAUAAUGUGUAAGAUCUGCUUUAAAAAGAAGUUCCCUCCUCAGUAAAGAGGGCUGAGGCAAUGUCUAUUAUUCCUUUCUUGGGGAAGUGUGUACUCUUACUGUUGUUUUCCUAUUAUCUAUGUAACUACUGUGAUUUUAAUAUUGUUGGUUUGUGUAUUUGGUAUUGUAAAACUGUACUUAUUCUUUGAAUCCCAUUCCCUGUGGACUGGGUUCCUGAGUUAUCCCAUAUUAGAGGGCAUCUGAAGAGCUUGAGUAGCUAGUAUUCUCAACUGUGAGGGGCUGGAAUCUACUACGGGUUCAGAUUUCACUUCCCUUGUAAUUAAGUGGUAAAGUAAUGACAACCCUUAAAAAUAAAACAGCCCAUAGGUUUCGCGAGAAGUGUAGUGAUUGUAGAGGAGUUCUGAAGCAAGGAAAAAUGGCUGUUGGAAAAAUAAUAUAAAAUGCAGUCUCCUGGGAUGAUGGCAAAAGACACUGAGCUACAUUAAGGCCGGAUCCAGAUAUAAAUGUGUAACAACAGCAAAUAAAACUAGCUUUACUUGAGAACAGAAAGUUUAAUUAUUCUUAGCUGACAUACUUCAGACACACACACACACACACACACACACACACACACACACACACACCUAGAGAGGAAAACAGACCAGGAGAGAAAAGUGAAGCUCUAAGGAAAUGGAAUGUGUGAAAAAUCUCACAAGGGAAUAAAGGAAGCAAUGGAAUUUAAAGACAGAUGGCCUAAAGCUCAAAGGAGAAAUGUCACAGUCCAGAUAGGAAAGUGCCUUCCCACCAGGGGGACUCAGCAAUGGUGCCAACAUGAAUCUACCUCGUGCCAGAGUCUGAGUAGUCUAGUCUAGCGCCCAACACAGUUAAGACCUGUCAGGGGCUCCCAAGAAUGAACAUUGAAGAAGGGAGUUAGGAGAGGGGCUAUCAAACAAAUGGAACCAAGCCCCAAAUGUAACUGAAUGAUGAUUGGGGAUAACUAUUUACUAGUACUUUAUGAUUUCUUGUAACUCUGUAACUUCCCUUAUGUUUGUUAAUAUUGUUAAUUUCUGUAUUUCCUGUACUUAAUUAGCAGUAAAAACUGUUUAACUAUAA